rnacentral:rRNA from 1 species
CCUACGGGAGACAGCAGUGAGGAAUAUUGGUCAAUGGGCGCAAGCCUGAACCAGCCAAGUCGCGUGAAGGAUGAAGGUUCUACGGUUUGUAAACUUCUUUUAUAGGGGAAUAAAGUUAGGCACGUGUGCCUUUUUGUAUGUACUCUAUGAAUAAGGAUCGGCUAACUCCGUUCCAGCAGCCGCGGUAAUACGGGGGAUCCGAGCGUUAUCCGGAUUUGUUGGGUUGAAGGGGUGCGUAGCCGGGGUGUUAAGUCAGGGGUGAAAUUCUGGGGCUCAACCGGAGAAUUGCCAUUGAUACUGGCAGACUAGAGUAAGGUUGAGGUAGGAGGAAUGCGUGGUGUAGCGGUGAAAUGCAUAGAUAUCACGAAGAACACCGAUUGCGAAGGCAGCUUACUAAGCAGAGACUGACGCUGAGGCACGAAAGCGUGGGUAUCAAACAGGAUUAGAUACCCGAGUAGUC